rnacentral:rRNA from 1 species
UACGUAGGGCGCAAGCGUUGUCCGGAAUUAUUGGGCGUAAAGGGCUCGUAGGCGGUUUGUCGCGUCGGGAGUGAAAUCCACUGGCUUAACUGGUGGCUUGCUUUCGAUACGGGCAGACUGGAGGUAUGCAGGGGAGAACGGAAUUCCUGGUGUAGCGGUGAAAUGCGCAGAUAUCAGGAGGAACACCGGUGGCGAAGGCGGUUCUCUGGGCAUGUCCUGACGCUGAGGAGCGAAAGUGUGGGGAGCAAACGGG